rfam:Dipodomys ordii contig_16523, whole genome shotgun sequence.
GGGAAGGUGGCUCAGUGGUAGAGUGCUUGUCUUGCAUACAGGAGGCCUUGGGUUCGAUUCCUCAGCACCUCA